CUCCGGUACAGCCUGGUAGGGAGGGCUCCCGGCAUCUCCCUGCUUCGGGGCAGAGGAUGCCGGGGGUAGAGUACGGGAGGGCUGGAGCGAGGGUGGACUGGAGGUGCCGCUUGUCCUGGAGGUGGGAGAGAGGGAGCGGCUUUGCCGCCUGGCCUGCGUCCUAAUCCUGUCCUGGUUCUUCUGCUCCCGAAGGGAACGUAGGUCCCGCGCCUGUGAUAAGUAAGGUUGGAUUUUCUCUUCCCUGAGGUGAAGGAUGCCCGGAGGCCUCGGCAGGACCGUGCGGAAACGGGCCUUCUGCCCAAAAGAUGCUGCUUCUCUCCUUAUUCUUUCCCCUCAGAAUCUCGCUGUCUCCUUCCAACCACCUGUGGUCGGCAUCCCCGCGUUGUCACUGCGACGCAGAGGUCGCAGCUUCAUGGCCUGAUGCCUUCAGGAAGUAUUUUGAAGUCAUCGUGGCUGUGGAUUGGGGGAUUUCUUGUUUCCACUGACCUGUGAGGCCGCGCACGUGGAGGGAGGCACCCCGGGUCCUCCGGCACUGUCCGGCCUCGCCUGUGUCCCUAGUAGCAGUGGGCAUUUCCAGACGGUGCAGCUUGUGGCUAAAGUGACAGGAAGAUGUAGGAGCUUUCAGUCUUGGAUGAGGAUUCGAACUGAAGGGCUUAGGCCCAGCUGUCUUGGAGCAAAACAUCUGUUGUGGGACUCCCACAGGCUGGGUGAUGGUGGGAGAUUUGUGCCCAUUCAGAUGUGGCGGCAGAGGAGGGCAAGGCCGAAGGAGCAGACAGCACCGCUUCUUGGGGAGUUGUGAAGGCAUCAUGCGGAGGGCCGAGCUUAGCAGCCAAGUGGAGGACAGCACCCUCCAUGCCUGGAUUCGUUACUCGCUCGUUCUCGAUGUUGAGCUGCUGGCAUAUUGCAGCACAACUAGAGAUGUACGGAUGCCCCCAUCUUGAUCUUACAGAAUCAGAGGUGCAGCCGCAAGAAAGCUACACCCUCUCGGUUUUCUCUGCUCUGCCAACACUAGUGGAAUAUGAUCACAUCCCAGGGAUCAGUGUCAUUUAGGGAUGUGACUAUGGGCUUCACUCAAGAGGAGUGGCAUCAUCUGGACCCUGCUCAGAGGACCCUGUAGAGGAAUGUGAUGCUGGAGAACUACAGCCACCUUGUCUCAGUAGGGUAUUGCAUUCCUAAACCAGAAGUGAUCCUCAAAUUGGAGACAGGCAAGGAGCCAUGGAUAUUAGAGGAAAAAUUUCGAAGCCAGAGUCAUCUGGGUGAGUUAGUGCCAGAUGGAAUUUAAAG
rnacentral:lncRNA from 1 species